AGUCAAGAUAAUCGGUACAAGUCCAAUGUUAUUGAACAUGCUCGAUGGUAUGCUCGAUGGUAUGCUAGGUCGCAUGCUUGAUGGUGUACUUGAUGCAUCGUA